rnacentral:rRNA from 1 species
UACGUAGGGUGAAGGCGUUGUCCGGAAUUAUUGGGCGUAAAGAGCUCGUAGGCGGUCUGUCGCGUCUGGUGUGAAAAUCCAGGGCUUAACCCUGGACCUGCAUCGGGUACGGGCAGACUAGAGUGCGGUAGGGGAGAUCGGAAUUCCUGGUGUAGCGGUGAAAUGCGCAGAUAUCAGGAGGAACACCGGUGGCGAAGGCGGAUCUCUGGGCCGUAACUGACGCUGAGGAGCGAAAGCAUGGGGAGCGAACAGG